rnacentral:rRNA from 1 species
UACGAAGGGGGCUAGCGUUGCUCGGAAUCACUGGGCGUAAAGCGCACGUAGGCGGACUCUUAAGUCGGUGGUGAAAUCCUGGAGCUCAACUCCAGAACUGCCUUCGAUACUGAGAGUCUCGAGUCCGGGAGAGGUGAGUGGAACUGCGAGUGUAGAGGUGAAAUUCGUAGAUAUUCGCAAGAACACCAGUGGCGAAGGCGGCUCACUGGCCCGGUACUGACGCUGAGGAGCGAAAGCCAGGGGAGCAAACGGG